UGCCAGUUGAACGCCUUUGGACUAUGGCAAAGGAGUAGCACACUGCUCAGUAACACGUAGCUAACCUACCCUUGGGAUGGUGAUAACCCCGGGAAACUGGGGUCAAUAACCAAUAGAUAUGGAUACCUGGAAUGGUUUCAUAUUGAAAUGUUUGUACACCCAUGUCGUGUACAUAUACCCGAGGAUGGGGCUGCGGCCGAUCAGGCUGUUGGUGAGGUAACGGCUCACCAAACCUUUGACCGGUACGGGCCAUGAGAGUGGUAGCCCGGAGAUGAGCACUGAGACAAGGGCUCAGGCCCUACGGGGCGCAGCAGGUACGAAACCUCCACAAUUCACGCAAGUGAGAUGGGGUUACCUCGAGUGCUGCCUGAAUAAGGUGGCUUUUCCGCUGUGUAGCAAGCUGUGGGAAUAAGGGGGGGGCAAGACUGGUGUCAGCCGCCGCGGUAACACCAGCCCCCCGAGUGGUGGGGAUGUUUAUUUGGCCUAAAGCGUCCGUAGCCGGCUCGGUAAAUCUCUCGUUAAAUCCAGCGUCCUAAGCGUUGGGCUGCGAGAGAGACUGCCAAGCUAGAGGGUGGGAGAGGUUAGCGGUAUUUCUGGGGUAGGGGCGAAAUCCAUUGAUCCCAGGAGGACCACCAGUGGCGAAGGCUGCUGACUUGAACACGCCUGACGGUGAGGGACGAAAGCUGGGGUAGCGAAUCGGAUUAGAUACCCGAGUAGUCCCAGCCGUAAACGAUGCAAGCUAGGUGUUGGGUUGGCCACG
rnacentral:rRNA from 1 species